AAGGGGUGGCUAACUCCGUGCCAGCAGCCGCUGGUAAAAUAACGCUGAGACCCCUNAGCGUUGUUCGGAAUUACUGGGCUUAAACUGGGGUUAGUCGGACCGGUAAGUACUUUGUGAAAGCCCCGGGCUCAAACUCGGGAAUUGCUUAGUAUACGGUCGUCCUUGAGGCAGGCAGGGUCAACUGGAACCUUAGGUGGGACCGGUGAAAUGUGUAGAGAUCUAAGGGAACGCCUUUGGCGAAACCGGGUGACUGGGCCUGUACUGACGCUGAGACCCGAAAGCGUAGGUAGCGAACGGGAUUAGAUACCCCGGUAGUCUACGCCGUAAACGAUGCGCACUAGGUUCGAGAAUUCUGACAAUCUUCGUGCCGUAACUAAAGUGUGAAGUGCGCCGCCUGGGGAGUACGGCCGCAAGGCUGUUACUCAAAGGAAUUGACGGGGGCUCACACAAGCGGUGGAGCAUGUGGAUCAAUUCGAAGCAACGCGAAGAACCCUACCUGGGUUUGACAUGCACGGAUGCCCUCCCUGAAAGGGGAGUAAGCUGCCUUCGGGUGAAACGUGCACAGGUGCUGCAUGGCAGUCGUCAGCUCGUGCUGUGAAGUGUCGGGUUAAGUCCCUUAACGAGCGAAACCCCUGUCGCUAGUUACCAGCGGUUCGGCCGGGAACUCUAGCGAGACUGCCGGCGUUAAGCCGAAGGAAGGUGGGGACGACGUCAAGUCAUCAUGGCCUGUAUGUCCAGGGUUUCACACGAGCCACAAUACGGCGGACAGAGCGACGCAAGACCGUGAGGUGGAGCAAAUCGCACAAAGCGUCCCUCAGUUCGGAUUGGGGUCUGCAAUUCGACCCCAUGAAGUUGGAAUCGCUAGUAAUCGCGUAUCAGCAAUGACGCGGUGAAUGUGUUCCUGAGCCUUGUACACACCGCCCGUCAAGUCAUGGGAAUCGGGAGUUCCACGAAGUCGCCGCAUCUCAGU
rnacentral:rRNA from 1 species